rnacentral:lncRNA from 1 species
AUUUAGGUCUUAGGCCAUAAAAUAUUGUACUUUUGUUUCUGGCUAAAAGAGUUUAAGAAGGUAGAGAUUCUGAAUAACUCUUGAGUCAUUCCACAUUUUGUUUUCUUCUUAAUGUCUUAUGGAAAUUAUAACAUAAAGUAAGUAUUCUGUUCAUUACUAGGCUUUGGAAGUUUUGCUUCAUUUUGCACUAUUUGGUAAACAAAACUAUUCAGGAAUAGAAUGGUGAUUGCCCUGAUUCAGAUUGAGCAUUGGGAAUUUCUCACCAUUGAUUCCUGUAAAUUAAUGAGUUGUGUUUGAGAUUGCAAAAAUGUCCUCUUGCUUAGAAGGGAAUGCUAUAUAUUCCUUCACCUACACCUCCUUAUCCUUUAGCCCUUUUUCAAUGAAAAGUACCCGAUGUAAGUCUUAACAGUUUCCUUGUCUGUACCUCUCCAACACCCAACAGAUUACCAGCUCUUUUCAGUUCUAGAUGAUCCACUCUGUUUCCAUUCCCACUACCGUUUCUAGUUGAUUCACUUGUUUCCAUUCCCACUACUACCCUUUUAAUUCAGGCUGUC